UCAAACAUGUUUCAUGAUCGCUCUUGAAAUAAUUGGCAAUUUAAUUGUGUUUAAAGAAUAAUUUCUAGUUUAAAUCAGUACGGUUGUGUUGUGUGUGAAAUUAAGUGUUUUUAAACAAUAGUCGGUUAUUAAAUACGGUGUAAAGAACGUAUUUGACUUGUCCUUGAUUAUAAACAAUACAAAAUGGAGGCAGUUGAACAGCUUUAAUAAAAUUUCCAUAAAAGCACAUGGAGGUGAUAAUAUCAUGGCGAGCACCUCACAUCGAACCACAAUAUUGUCUAGUAGGACUCAAUGGCAAAUUUACUU